rnacentral:lncRNA from 1 species
CGGACUCGAUGGAAGUGGUAUACUGGUACAGUUAAAACGUUUUAGCGUCUCUUAGUUUUUGGCACGUAAUGAUUUCGCUAAAGCACCUGGUCACUCUAAGCCUCCUUAUUACAUUCUCAGUUUUGAGCAACAAUGAAAAAAAUGAGGACGUACUGACCUGUUCAGAGCGAUGUAGACAAGAAUAUGGGUACAUCAACAGUUCCGAAGGCACCCGCAUUUUCAUCACGAUCGGGGCCAUCGAUGAUAACGAGGUUACGAUUACUGCAGAGGGAAACAGUCUUGAGCACAAGUACGAGAGACGCCAAGAGAAAUGCGAAUGCCGAAUCAGCACCGAGCUGGAGGCUUUACUGGAAUCGAAACAGCUCAGUGGCACCCAAUGGGAUACAGUCAAAUACCAGCUUCGUAAUCGACAACUGCUCGAGGUCCGCAAAUGGGUGGAGCAGCACACAGGCGAAAAAGUCCAAUUCCUCGGGGCUGAGGAGCAGAACAAUUCCCCAAACACAGGCCCAGUUUCGAGCGGAAAAGAGAAAAAACGGGAGCAUGCGCUCAGCGAAGAGGAAUGCAAAGACAAGUGCCACAAGGAGGCCGGAUACCGCUUAGUCGAGACAAAAGAUAAGGUAGUGCGGGCAUGGAUCACAGAGGGGUAUAUUCGUCAGUCACGAAUCUGGUCAAAGUCGAAAAAAUGCGAAUGCAAGACCAACGAGGUUCUUAUGAAUUACCUGCGUCACAAGAGGAUCGACACGCGGAAAUUCGAAUCGCUCCGCAAGAAGGGAAAGUGGGAGAAAAUGGAGACAUGGUUGAAGGAGUAUGAGCUAUCUUUAUUAGUACAUGGACAGGAAAGGGGCGAUGAUGAUCCAGUUGAGGAUGAGACGAGCUGUACAAAAAAAUGUUGGAAAUCGCAUGGGUACAUAGAAGGAGAGAUCCGAGGCUCCGUAUUUUCCUCAUGAUCGGGGUCAUCAAUGAUAACAAAUAUAUUAAGGUACACGAAGAGCUACAAAAAGACCUGGAUGAAUGCGAGUGCCACAUCAAUCCAAGCCUGAAAAAUCUACUGAAAUCCAAGGGACUCAAGAUCGAGGAAUUCGAAGAGGCAAACAUCGAGCAUAACUAUAAAGCCAACGAAUGGCUGCUGGCACAAGUGGCAAAUAUGGGCAAGCAAGUCCACUUCCUCGAUAAUGAGAAGCAUAAAAAAUCCCCAAACACACCAGGACCCAAAGAUUUGCUGACCGUGAAGGGAUGUGAGGAGCAUUGCCUUGAAAAAGAGGGUUACAUCGAAUUAGGACCAUUCAAUGCGGAUCAUUUAAAAGUCACGAAUGGUAAAGUGGUGGACUCAUGCAUGGGGUCGAAAUGCAAGUGCGAAAUCAACGGAGAGUUUCUUGAAUAUUUGGAACGGAAGGGUCUGAAUUCUCGAACAUUCAUGUUGCGGCGCACACUAGGGAAGGGAGCAAAAUGGUUGAUUGAAAACAAGAUCGAUAUCAAGUUCAAACAACUGCCAUUGCCUGUUAAACAGAGGCAUCAACAUCCUCCACCACCGGCUGAACUGGAGCAUCACCCUCUUCCGCAUCCGAUGAACAGAAGCAUCAACAUCUACCUAAACAGAAGAAUCCUCCGGCUGAACAGGAGCAUCACCCUCUUCCGCCUCCGAGUGAACAGAAGCAUCAACAUCUACCUAAACAGAAGAAUAACCAUUCAACAUCUCCAAGUGACCAGACGCAUCACCGUCUACCACCUCUACCUAAACAGAAGCAUCAACUUACACCACCUUUAGCUGCACACGAGCAUGAAAGUAAGCAAUGCCGUCUAUGACCUUCAACUGAACCUUCAAGCGGACGGGUCUGUACACUUAGAUGUCAGAAAACUUUUGGGUACAUCACCGCGGAGGAGACUCGGAAUCCAAAAUAUACGUCACGAUUGGAAUCGGAACAAAAGGAUCGCGUGAGUGCCAACCAAACGAAGAACUAAAACCGCGAAUUGGAGAUGUACUUUACAAAGCAUUCAAGAAGGCAUUGGAAGAAGACGUGGCUGAGGGUCUCCAUGUGUUGCGCGACAACGAGUUCGCAAUCCAUUUCGAUGAUCCCAAAACGAAAAGCUAAUAUGUUUCCAGUUAAAUCCUGCAUGGUAAAUAAAUUCGAAAAUCCUGCAAUUCGUAUGACAAACAGACUUAAUUUUUUUGAAGUAACCCCCCUUCCCCUUCCCAAACAUUUG